rnacentral:rRNA from 1 species
UUCGCCCUACGGGACGCAGCAGUGGGGAAUAUUGCACAAUGGGGGAAACCCUGAUGCAGCGACGCCGCGUGAGUGAAGAAGUAUUUCGGUAUGUAAAGCUCUAUCAGCAGGGAAGAAAAAAGACGGUACCUGACUAAGAAGCCCCGGCUAACUACGUGCCAGCAGCCGCGGUAAUACGUAGGGGGCAAGCGUUAUCCGGAUUUACUGGGUGUAAAGGGAAGGUAGGCGGCGCGGCCAGUCUGAAGGGAAAGGCAGGGGCUUAACCC